rnacentral:pre_miRNA from 11 species
GUCUGCAGUACCUAUUCAUGUGACCCGUGGACUUCCCUUUGUCAUCCUAUGCCUGAGAAUAUAUGAAGGGGGCUGGGAAGGCAAAGGGACGUUCAAUUGUCAUCA